UGGAUGUUGUAGCACACACACUCUGUAAAGGAGUAACAUAGGGAAAUAGACACUGUGUAUAAGGUCUAUACGCCUUCUGACUAAAUGUUGAUUUGGCUAAUUGUCAAGCUGCUGACUGAGACCAUCUUACACCCAACCAGUGGAUGGAACUCGGGGACCCCUGUGGUUGAAUUUGGGAAAGGCUGGAAGUAGCU